UACGGAGGGUGCAAGCGUUAUCCGGAUUUACUGGGUUUAAAGGGUGCGCAGGCGGAUAUGUAAGUCAGUGGUGAAAUCUCCGGGCUUAACCCGGAAACUGCCGUUGAUACUAUAUAUCUUGAAUGCUGUGGAGGUAAGCAGAACACGUCAUGUAGCGGUGAAAUGCUUAGAGAUGACAUAGAAUACCUAUUGCGAAGGCAGCUUACUACGCAGAUAUUGACGCUCAUGCACGAAAGCGUGGGGAUCAAACAGG
rnacentral:rRNA from 1 species